rnacentral:rRNA from 1 species
CAGCCGCCACGGUAAUACGGAGGGAGCUAGCGUUGUUCGGAAUUACUGGGCGUAAAGCGCACGUAGGCGGUUAUUCAAGUCAGAGGUGAAAGCCCGGGGCUCAACCCCGGAACUGCCUUUGAAACUAGAUGACUGGAAUCUUGGAGAGGUCAGUGGAAUUCCGAGUGUAGAGGUGAAAUUCGUAGAUAUUCGGAAGAACACCAGUGGCGAAGGCGACUGACUGGACAAGUAUUGACGCUGAGGUGCGAAAGCGUGGGGAGCAAACAGGAUUAGAUACCCCCGUAGUCCCUGUCUCUUAUAC